GACGAACGCUGGCGGCGUGCCUAAUACAUGCAAGUUGAGCGCUGAAGGUUGGUACUUGUACCAACUGGAUGAGCAGCGAACGGGUGAGUAACGCGUGGGGAAUCUGCCUUUGAGCGUGGGACAACAUUUGGAAACGAAUGCUAAUACCGCAUAAAAACUUUAAACACAAGUUUUAAGUUUGAAAGAUGCAAUUGCAUCACUCAAAGAUGAUCCCGCGUUGUAUUAGCUAGUUGGUGAGGUAAAGGCUCACCAAGGCGAUGAUUCAAAGCCGACCUGGGAGGGUGAUAGGCCAAAUUGGGACUGGGAAAACGCCCAAAAUCCUAAGGGAGGCAGCAGUAGGGAAUCUUCGGCAAUGGACGAAAGUCUGACCGAGCAACGGCGCGUGAGUGAAGAAGGUUUUCGGAUCGUAAAACUCUGUUGGUAGAGAAGAACGAUGGUGAGAGUGGAAAGCUCAUCAAGUGACGGUAACUAACCAGAAAGGGACGGCUAACUACGUG
rnacentral:rRNA from 1 species